CUGCAUCGGCAGGCGGACUCUCAACCACUGCGCCACCAGGGAAGCCCUGGUUGCAAUAGUAAAUGGAUAAUGCAGCAAGGACCUGGCGACCAGGAGCCCAGACCUCUCUGCGAUGUGAAUCUAGAUCAUGAUGCCAGGUGUCAAUCCCAAAGGCACUCCCUGAUAAACAUCCUGGACACUAAACUCUGACUCAGAGUCUUCUUCCUGCAGAGCCUGAACUGUGAAAAUGCCCUGUCAUCACAAAUACUUUUACGGUAUGCAGACCUCUCCCUGUUGUGGCCUCUCCUGUUUCGGAGCACAGGC